rnacentral:lncRNA from 10 species
UUGGUUGCAGCUGGAGAAGAGAGGGGGAGAACUGGGUGUUUGUGCUUCUGUGUAAGGGGCAAGUUCAUCACCCACUGUGCCGUGAUGGCACACAAUGGAGGGUGGGUCUCCAUAGGGAAUGGAAGUGCUGCUGGCCACUGAACAGUCCCAAGCCCACAAAUGCUCACCACAAACGUUACUAUUUAAAUCCAGAAGAGAAGGCAGGUGCUUCUUGAUAAAACCAGGGCAGAGUUACAUGGUGUGGAGGAAAAGGGUGGGCUUGAGUUUCUGGCAAGCUCCAUAUGUAAGGGUUAAAAUCACCUGAGGUGAGGGACUCUAAGAGGCGCAGUGCUCAAACCUCCACUUGUACUGACUGUGUGACCUUGAGCAAGUGAUUUCAGCUCUCUGAGCUUCCGAGCUCUGAAGGCCCAGUUAGAUGAUACACCUAGAACACGCCUGGAACGAGAGCGGGUACAUGGCAAACACUAAGGAAGAUCUAGCUACGGUGAUUGCAGUGUCUUCUGUUUAGAGAAGAGGACUGGCUUCUCCUGCACCUGAGGCCUGGAGGGUAAAGCAGAGGAGCAGAAGCAAUAAACAUGGGAGAUGGAAGGAUCUGAAACCAGCAGAGGGCCCACGGUGUUUCAGGCCCUUUUCAAGGAUAAAGGUGUACAAAGAUGAAGAAACACAGUCCUUGCCUCCAGGGGUUUAGAGUCUAGUGUUCCUAUAACGUGUAAUAGCAAUACGUCUUUCAAAAAUUGGCUCAAUUGUCAUCUACAUUUUACAGAGGAGAAAAAAAGGCUCAGAGAUAUAACAUGACUUUCCCAAGGCCACAGGCCUUGAAAGUACAAAUUGGAUCAUCCUUAUCGACACCUUCCUGUGGCAAUCAGAAUAAAACAUCGAUGUCGGACCAGGACCUAAGUGUGAUACGAGUCCUGCUAACAUCUCUGACGACAUUUUUUUUUUUGAGACAGAGUCUCCCUCUGUUGCCCAGUUUGGAGUGCAAUGGUGUGAUCAGACAGCACUGGCUUCAGGAACUGAUGGAUCCAGGUGCUCACGUGUGUCUUCCGUCACCCCUCUGCCUCAGCUUCUCAGAAAGCCUUUCACAUUUAGUGGACCCAGUAGCCCACCAGCAGAAAAGAAGCUGUCUUCCCCAACAGAUUCACAAAAGUCCUAGGAUUGCAGAACAUUAGACAACUUGAACUUUGGUCUGAUGAGAACACUCUGAUUCAUCAAAGCUAGAUUAUGUGACCACCCCUAACAUGUGGGUGGGAAGUGGGGAGAGAAGAGAGGAGGUAGUCUCCUCAAACACUUUAAGAGUGGAGUUGAGGUGAUUUCCCCAAAGGAAAAAUUGGGGUGCUGUCACCAAAAGAAGAGAGGAUGGAUAAUGAGCAGGCAAAAACCCCAAAUGUUCCCCUAUGGGAGUAAAAUCCACUUGAGGCAUAGGCCACUUGGGGAGAAGACCCGUAAGCUCCUUCUCCAGGAGGGUUAUCUGAUUAUAAGAGGAGGCUGGUAACCACUGAGUCUGCACGAAAGCUUUUCCUAGGCCUGGUCCUUGGGGCUACAGCUUUAUUCUAGGGCAUGUUUAUUUGAGGAACAUGGGCUCCUUGAGAAGCACUGGAAACAAGGGGACAGAAUGGCUUCUAAAUAAAACAAAUCCUAGCCUGGA